rnacentral:sRNA from 1 species
AUGAUUGGGUUUGAUGGUUAUUUUCUAAAAGAAUCCGAGUGCGGGCUUGAACAAUUCGAGGGGCUCAGUUCACCUUGGCCCGCAUUGUGGUGUCCUCCUUCGUCGACAAGUUGGUCUUUAUUGCGUCGAUUUGAAUUUGCAAAGGUUGCUUCUCCUAGUCCUAGCGCUUCAGCUUCAAAGGAAAGUGGGUUUUGCCUUUGCUUUUCAACCAUGGAAGGAAACAAAAAGCAGAAACAAAAGAAGACUAAUAAUGGUAAAGUAGUUGUUGAAAGGCCAAGACGUUCAGUCAGGCUACAAGCAAAGACACCAACACACAAACAAAAAGCAAAAGAAGAAGAUAUAGAAGAUAUUGUUAAGUGGGGUUUCAGCAGAGACGAAACACAGAAGAUUAGAGAAUCUUUGUUGGAGUGGUAUGACCAGAACAAGAGGGACCUCCCAUGGCGGUAUACAAAUACAGCAGAAUCAGAAGAAGAAGAGACAAAAAGGGCUUAUGGGGUUUGGGUUUCGGAAGUAAUGCUUCAGCAAACAAGAGUUCAGACUGUCAUUCAAUACUACAACCGUUGGAUGGAGAAAUGGUCCACCCUUCAACACCUAUCUCUGGCUUCUCUUGAGGUAAUUAUUAAUAAUUAGCAAUUUGGGUUUUGUUUGUUUGGUCUAAUUCAAUUGUUAUAAUGUGGGGGGAUUUGAACCCUGUUGGAAACAAACAUGAGGUGUUAGUUUAGCUAUGAGACUCGUGGCUGUUUUGUUUUGUUGAUUCUUAGGGAAAACGUGAUUUGAACUCUUUUAAGUUUUAAGAGUUAAAUGUUGGUUGAUUUGUUUUGGUUUGCAGGAGGUCAAUGAAAUGUGGGCUGGUUUGGGAUACUACCGCAGAGCACGAUUUUUGCUUGAGGUGCACUCUUCUUAUCUAUCAUUUUUCUAUUAAUAUUGUUUUUAUAUAUGCAUAUAAUAUCAUUAACUACACUAUCAAUACUAUUCUAAUGGGAUUUGCUGAAUUUCUGUUCAAUAGCUAUGACUAUGAUUGUCUUCUUAACUAAAACAAAGACGCUUAAUACACCUGUAUGCUAUAAAAUACAUAUGAUAUAAGCUGAAUUCUACCAGCAAAUGGCAGUCUCUUGGCUCCCCAAAAGUUGAUCCUACCAGAUACUUUCGCCACUAGAGGUCUACAAUCAAUAGAAUUCAAUUUGCAAUGAGAGAGAGAAACACCAUCAAGUCAUCAGCGAAACAUAGUUAGGCACUUCAUUGGAAGCUUCCCUUCCUUAAAUUGUAGAGUACUUAAAAUUUGACCUUUCAACAUAGGAGUGACAUUGGCACAGAAAAUCUCACUCUUUUUAGGAUUUGUAGCUAGACUAGAUAGCUUCUAGAACUUUGUGAGAAGAUCAUUUACAAGCUGAGAAGAAGACUUAUCAGUUGCACUAAACACCAUCAAGUCAUCAGCAAAACAUAAUUCUGUUAGCUUUAUACUUAAACACUUUGGGUGAAAUUUGAAUUACCUUGGACAGCCUGCUAUAUUGAUUGAGAGAGAACUUCAGCGCAAUAACAAACAAAUGCGGCAAUAGGUGACCCCCUUUGAUACCAGAAAAGUAUGGGGCAAAUCAAACUUAUCUGAUAUGAUGAAUGAGGGAAGGUUGGAUUUAUAUAUAUUUAUAUUUUCUGGGUUAUAUGGAAUAAGAAAAAACUCAAGAAUUAAAAGGAUAGAUAAACUCACUACCAAAGCAAACCCAAAGGGAAUUGGCUCACAACUCAAUGAGAUACAAAUUAUCACCACCCAAAGAGAUACAGAAACCAAACUCGCCACCCAAAGGAAUCUACCCAAGGAAUAGGAGUUAAUUUAGGAGAAAUCAAUAUUCUAAAGCACAAAGCUAUAUAAACUUUUUUUUUUUUUUUUUUUUUUUUUAAGAACCAAAAGCUAUAUGAACUCAAAUACACACUUUGAUAUAUUUAUUCCAGCAUUAGGAGAAAUCAAUAUUCUAAAGCACAAAGCUAUAUAAACUUUUUUUUUUUUUUUUUUUUUUUUUGAGAACCAAAAGCUAUAUGAACUCAAAUACACACUUUGAUAUAUUUAUUCCAGCCAAAUGGCUUACAUAAUAUCUUAGAACAGCCCUCUAAGCAUAGGAGAAUGAAAAUGGCAAUUAAUAACAUUACAUUUUCAAGAUUUUGACUCAUGGAAACUAGAUACAUAAUAAAAGACUUGUCUACUGACUCUACUCAAGAGAACUAAAACAUAAAAGCUGAAUAUUCCCUAGAAACCCCAAUUAAAUGCUAUUUGACUUCUUUUCAAACUAACCUAUUAAUAUUCAAAUAUCUUAUGAAAUGGGGGCAAAAUUCAUUCAAAAUACUGGCCUUAUUUGCUGAGCUUGAAAAUCAACUUGGUUGGGGUUAUGAAUCUAAUUGGAUUGUGAUGUAGGCUUAUUUGGACACUCCUCAUGCCACCGUGCUUGUGGUUGCCGUUUUACUCCAGUGAUAAAAUCCCUAAACCCUUCUCCCAUCAAUCAGCACCCCAAUAGUCCAAGAAUGCUGUUCACAGCACCAGAGCAGCCUCUGCUUUUUCUCUUUCUCACCAUAAUUUGAGGCCAAAUCCUUUUCUAAUCCUCUUGAAAUCCAAAAUCCCUACUUUUACCUAGAUUUUUUUCCACCACAAAACCCUAACCCCAACCAUCUUAAAACCCCUAAAAUGGACUACUUCCACAGAAAUCUUGCAAUUUUAAAACUUCAAUAUGAUAUUUUCCCUAAAGUUUGCAAUCAAAUAACAAACAGCCUGAUGCAGGCAGUGGGUCAACCUCUGUUUUAUUUAUUUUUAAGUGUACAUGGGCUAUACCAAUGGUCCAUUAAUUCAUAUUUGGGUUUUAUUUAAGUUUAGUUAUUUAGUUUGGGUUUAGUAAUAAAGCCCAAGGAGUACAACUCCAAGUCUUAUUAGGAGUUUAAAAUAAAGUCCUAUAUCCACUAGGAAUAGGUAUUAGUCUUCUGUUUGAAGGGUUUAAUACUUUCUAGUUUCUAUUGAAGAGAAUAAUAAAAUUUCAGAUUUCUAGAGAAGCUAUGAAGCUUGUUGCAGUUUGUGUGAUGCACAUCCUUCUUUGAGGUGUCCCCAAGCGUGAUAAUUAGGAAGUCUAGAUGCCUAAAACUAAAAGUACCCUUCCAUCCACCAAAUAGCCCCACAUAACUCUGAAACAGCCCGUUACUGUUCACAUCACUGGAAUAGCAACAUAAAUUUUAGAUUUCUCCUUUGUUUCAUCCUCAAAUCCUACUAUUCCUUCCCUCCAUUGGAAACUCUAUAAUCCUUAUUAUUUUCCAACCUCUUUCCUACCCAAAAAAAAAAACCAAACACUAAUUCCUCAAAAUUCAGCUGUCCUAUCACUGCCAAGAUCUGACCUAGAAAUUUUAAACCUAAUUUUCCUUUGUUCUCCCUUGUCCUAAGUCACAACCCUAGAAGUAUCAUGUUGCUGUUUUCGCCUAAGUCCUGUUACUUUAGAUCUUCAAAACCUCAACUUUUUCCCCUGAAUUUAGUUCCUGAGCUCUUUUUCCUAUGCCACUUGCAAAACUUGCAACUCAAAUAAGGCAGGUGCCAAAAUCAGUAGAUAACUAAUCUGAUUCAUCUCUCAACUGAUGUGAAUUGAAUGACAUAGGGUGCCUUUGACUAUCUUCUGUUAUCUAGUACAUUGUGGCUCUUAGACAUCACAAAGUGACUGGAAUACCUUCCCAGUGGGCUGACACAAUACUCAUGUUCUCCUUAAGAAUUUAGGUUUUGUAGUGAAGGCCUUUAGACACUUGAAAAUGUCAAUGAAAGGUUCUGUAUUUCAUCUCACUGAUAAGAAAUUUGAAGUCUCCUAUAUCUCGAAAGGAUAUAAAAUAAAAAAAAUAGGAAGAAGAGAAUCACAUCCUUAUCUUGAUAGUAAACUGUCCUAAUGCUCUCCCUCCAUUUUGUUUUUGUUGUUAGGGAGCUAGGAUGAUUGUUGCAAAAGGAAGUGGAUUUCCUAAAACAGUUUCUGCACUGAAAAAGAUUCAAGGAAUUGGAGACUAUACUGCCGGAGCUAUUGCUUCAAUAGCAUUUAAGGAGGUGAGUAGCUUCUGGAAUAUUUUUGUUUAAUCAUCAUGAAGCAUUUUUCAAGGAAUACUGUGUCAGGUGGUACCUGUGGUUGAUGGGAAUGUGAUACGGGUGAUUGCUAGACUAAGGGCUAUUUCUGCAAAUCCAAAAGACUCAGUUACUGUCAAGAAAUUAUGGUGGGCUAUCAUGACUCCAACAACUUUUCUGUUAGUUUUUAUAUUUUAUUAUGGAACUAGAUUUAUUGUAAUUGUUUUAGAUACUAUUUUACUUACGUUUUUCAUUCGUCCAAUCUAUAAUAUUUUGUCAUUGGACUUAUUGUUUUCUAUUGUUUAAGAAACAAACAUAUUAUUAGUUUGUCUCUACAACAAUUUGAUUAAACUUUCAACAAGUUAUGUUUUAGCUUGUAAACUGAAGGCUUUGAAAGGUGAUUUGAAGCAUUGGAAUAAGCAUGGGUUUGGGGAUGUGGUUUUUAGGAAGAGAUGUCUUUUGACUGAGUUGUUAGAGCUUGAUAUGAGAGAAAAGCUGCAAGUUUUGUCUCUAGAAGUUAGAUCUAGAAGAAUUGUGAUCAAAGCCGAUAUAGAGCAUUUAGCUUCUUUGAAGGAAAUUUCUUGGAGGCAAAAAUCCAAGGCCUUGUUCAUAAAAGAGGGGGAUAAUAAUUCUCGGUUUUUCCAUAGGUUGGCUAACUCACACAAGCGAACCAAUCAAAUUAGGGGAGUGGAGGUUGAAGGUGUGCUUUAUGAGGAUGACAGGGAGGUUCAAGCUCAGGUGGUGGAAUUUUAUAAGAAUCUAUAUCAAGAGCCUGAAUCUUAGAGACCUACUAUUGAUGGCUUGGAAUUUGCUUGCUUGGAUGAAUCUGAGAGACUAUCUUUAGAGAGGGAGUUUGAUAAGGAGGAGAUUCUUGCAGUUUUAAAGGAGGUUGAAGGUGAUGAAGCACCUAGGCCAGAUGGUUUUACUAUGGGUUUUUUUCCAAAAGUGUUGGAGUGUGGUAGAAGAAGAUGUUAUGGCUUUUUUGUGUGGAUUUUCAUAGAACUUGCAUCUUUGAAAAAUCCCUUAAUGCCACUUUCUUAUGUCUGAUUCCUAAGAAGACCAAUGCUAUUAACAUUAAGGACUUUCGUCCUAUUAGCCUUGUGGGUAGUUUGUAUAAGCUACAAUCAGAAGUGUUGGCACAUAUGCUUCGUUGUGUUUUGGAUAAACUUAUAUCUAAUUCUCAAAACUCUUUUGUUGCGGGUAAAUAGAUUCUUGAUUACAUUCUCAUUGCUAAUGAAUGUUUGGAUAGUAGAAUGAAGAGUGGUAUUCCAGGUGUGAUUGUCAAGUUGGAUAUUGAGAAGGCUUAUGAUCAUGUGAGUUGGGAUGCUUUGUUUUAUCUCAUGGAGAGGAUGGGUUUUGGAGAGAAGUGGGGGAGGUGGAUGAAGUUUUGUGUUUCUACAGUCCAAUUUUCAGUUCUUGUUAAUGGCUAUCUAAUGGGUUUUUUUGGUAGUGCUUAGGGCCUUUGCCAAGGGGACUAUUUUUCCUAUUGGUGAUGGAAGUUUUGAGUAUACUAUUGAAAAGAACAGAAUAGGGAGGCUUUAUUAGGGGUUUUCAAGUGAAUUCCCGUUCACAAGGAGGUUUGCAUAUUUCUCAUCUUCUUUUCGUUGCUGACACUAUCCUUUUUUGUGAUGCAACUAGGGAACAACUUUAACAUAUUUGGAUGGUGAUGAUUUUCUUUGAGGCUAUCACAGGCUUGAAAGUUAAUAUUGGUAAGAGUGAGAUUGUUCCAGUGGGGGUGGUAGGGAGUUUGGAUACUUUGGCUAGUGUCUUAGGUUGCAAUGUUGGUAGGCUGCCCAUGAUUUACUUGGGUAUGCCUCGUGGAGCUCAUUUUAAGGAUCCAUCAAUUUGGUAUCCUAUUAUAGAAAAAAUGGAGAAGUUUUCUGGUUGGAAACGUUUAUAUUUGUCGAAAGGGGGUAGGUUAACUUUAUUGAAAAGUACCCUUUCAAGCCUUCCCACCUUUUUCUUAUCCUUGUUUACUAUCCCUCCAGCUGUAAUAGAUAGAUUAGAAAGGAUCCAGAGAAAUUUCUUGUGGGGGAGUUUUGAAGAAGCUUUCAAAUAUCCACUUUUUGCUUGGAAUAAGGUGUGUUGGCCAAUUGAAAUAGGAGGUUUGGGGAUGAGGAGGUUUGGGUUGUUUAAUCAAGCCCUGCUUGGAAAAUGGUUAUGGCAUUUUGGAAGUGAAACCAAUCAUUUAUGGCGUCAGGUUAUAGCUACCAAGUAUGGAGAGUCUAGUGGAGGUUGGUGCACUAGAGUUAGUAGAGGUGCUCAGGGAUGUGGAAUGUGGAAGAAUAUUAGGAAAGGUGCUGAGAGUUUCUUUGGUCAUGUGUUUUAUGUGGCAGAAAAGGGUUUUCGUAUUCGAUUCUGGUAUGAUCUUUGGUGUGGGCACAUUCCCUUAAAGGAUCUUUACCUUGAUCUUUUCUCUUGUGCUAUAGGUAAAGAAGCUUGGAUUUUUGAGUUAAUUAGUAUUUCACCAAAUGGUGGUAAUAAGAGAUGGAAUAUUCAAUUCCAUAGGGCUCCUGAUGAUUGGGAGGAGGAGAGAGUCUAUUUUUUACGAGCUUAUUUAUUCCAAAAUGCCUAGGGGUGAGGGGACUGAUAGUUCUUUUUGGAAGUUAACCCCAAAUGGUGUUUUUGAUGUGCUCUCUUUCUAUAAUUCAUUAUCUGCUCCUCCUACCUUUCCUUUCCUGUGGAAAUGUAUUUGGAGUAAUAAGGUACCUAAAAGAGUGUCUUUCUUUUUAUGGACUGCAGCUCGAGAAAGUAUUCUUACUAUUGACAACCUUGUAAAAAGGAACUUGUCUUUGGAUAAUUGGUGUUGCUUGUGCAGUUGUGAUGGAGAAACAGUGGAUCAUCUUUUACUUCAUUGCAAGUUCGCACACGCCUUAUGGAGUAAACUGUUUUUGAUGUUUGGUUUGCAGUGGGUGAUGCCAAGGACGGUUGUUUCUCUUCUUUUUGCAUGGGAGAAUUAUUUGGGGUUACACUCUUCUUCAGUCUGGAAUAUGGUUCUAGCUUGUUUGAUGUGGCUAAUUUGGAGGGAAUGAAAUACCCGCACUUUUGUGGACGUUGAGAAAUCUGCGGAUUUUUUGAAGUUUUUGUUAGUUGGGACAUUGUUUGGGUGGUUUUGUACUUGGGGUUUUACACAAUGUAUUUCCAUUUUUGAUUUCGUGCAUUCUAUCUCUAUUUGAUUUGUUUCUAGUACAUUCUGUUUAUCAUCGUGGACAUGACGUACUUUUUUUAAUGAAGAUAACUAUUACCUAUCAAAAAAAAAAAAAGAAAAAAAGAUUGAUACCAUAUGCAUUAUGCACUUGCAUCAUUUUUUCGACUAUUAGAAAUUUGGUAGGAUUCUUUACAAUAUAGGCUUUCAUUUAAGUAGGACUAAAAUGGAGCACAUGGAAUGCAAGUUUAGUAAAAGUAGAAAUAAAUAUGAAGGGGCUUUAAGAUUUGAUGGUCUAGAGAUCUUUUAAAAUUUGACGUGCCAUCCCUACAAUCCAUAUCACCCCCCUUUACCUUUUUUCACACCACCACAAUUUUUUUGGUCGACCUUUGGCCAAGGACCACCACCACCCCCCCCUUGAUACCUGUACCCAUAGCUUCCCAUCACUCAAACUUACAACCCAAGUCAACCGGUACUCUCGCAUAGCCCCCUAACGUUUCACAUCCCUCAACCUUACAACCCAUUGUUACUCCCACACAGCCACCUAAACCUCAACAGCCCAAGCCUAAACCACAGUCAGGGGGGGUUGGAGAGGAUUUCAAAUGUCUUUCAUAUUGAUUCAAAGGUUUUUUCUUUAGCUUUUGAUGGUGGUAGGAUAGAUUUCUAUGCUAUUCAUGAAUGACGGGGUAAGUUCCAUGGCUCCAUUAGGGUGGGUCAUUUGGGUUUGGAUUGGAUUAUUGCUUGUUUGGCAGAUCUAGAUCAGUGGAACUUUCAAAAACAACCUUUUUUCAAAUGUUUACGUGAGAAUUCUAAACUUUUGGAGUUUGCCAGUAGAUUUAACAAGGGUGGCUUAUUUGUGGAAAUCUCUGAAUACCACAAUGGUGCAAGAAGGGGUUGUCUACGAGUUCCAGAGGUGACCAAGAUAGGUGGUUGGACUUUGUUUGGAAGAAGAUUACGUGACUAUUUUUUGGGGAAGACGAAUGCUGGACCGGUGGAAAAGGUGGUGGCCAGAGGAAGAGAGUUUGAAAAAGUAGUUGACAUGCAAAAUCCCCAAGUUUGGAAAAAAUAAAAUGGCCACGAAAAUAAAGGGAGUAAUUUACGUUUUGUGAAGUAUCUUCCAAAUAUAACUGGUCAGCGUAAUCAGUUUGAGCCUUUGGGGGGAUUUGAUGGUUCCAAAAAGGCAAUAUUUGCUAGUGUGUCAACAGCUGGUAGGCCUAUCCAUGUAAGUCAUUUAAAAUGGACCCAAGCCCACUUUUGUUUAAAAAUAUCUAUUGACUUAAUGGGUGAGGGUAAGCGGACUGUUUCUUGGGGUAAGUUUCAGCCCAUUGUAAGCAGACCUGCUCAAGCCCACCAACCCAAUCGUGAGAAGGGGUCGGGUCAACCCUCUUUGGACAUUUCAAGACAUGCAUAUAGGUGAUGGGUCCGAUGACUUGUAGAUUUCAGAGUGGGUGACUGGGGAAGGAUCGGGAACACACAAGGAUGAGGAAGGGGAGAUUCCAAGCUCCGGCGAGGGACUGGGUGGCUCCCCUAUUGCUGAUAUGAAUUCCGAUGAGGGACUGACUCACAAGGAAGAGUCCAGGGAGUUCCAGAGCUCCGGUGGGAGACUAAGCGGCCCUUUUGUGAUUGAUACGAAGCUCGACGAUCAUGUUUUGGGUUCAGAGGAUCACGGUACUGUUGUGGAGGCAGGCUUGAGUGUUGAUAGAGAACCGGCACACUCUCCUAUUGUCGUUGAUCAAAUCGUGGACCAUGGGGCUCGGUUUUUGGUUACCGAUAUAGUUAAUGGAGCUUGUUCGACAACCAUUGAAAAUUCUGGGUGUCCAGUUCAGGUUCAGAGCCAAGUGAGGGUGCGUUCGGACUUGUAUUUUCCUAUUUCUGAGGUGGGUCAUGGUUUGGUUGACUUUGAGGUUCCUAGACUGAUUUGGGAUACUACUUUGCCUUCGGGUAAGGGUGAGGAGGUUGUUAACCCUGAGGUCAUUACACCUUUGGCUCUGUGGGACCCAAAUGGUUCUUUUGAUCUCGUCUCUAUGGAAGAUGGUUCGGAUGGGGUUUCAGUGGAAGAUGUUAUAGAGCCUUCAGAAUGGGUGAGUAGGAUGAUUAGAGAUUUUAGUACUUAUGUGGGUUUCCCAAUUGAUUGCUGUGAGAGACAGUGUAUUGAUUUUUUUCAAAAACUUGAGAGGGUUUAGGAGCAGCAAGCAACUGUUGUUACUACUCGUCGGGUAAGCAAUUCAAACCAAAAGGGGAUAAGGGAGUUAAGAAAUUUGUUUUCAUCUAUUAAUUACGAUGGGCAUUCUAGUAGAAGUCCUAGAGGUAGUUUGAAAUCCUCUAGUUUGGGUUCGUCUGUUAGUAAAUGAAUUUAAAAAUGCUGUCAUGGAAUGUGAGGGUUUGAAUAAUCCUCAUAAGAGAGAUGUUGUGAAGAAUCUUUUACGGGAAUGGAAGUGUGAUAUCGUAUGUGUUCAAGAAUCUAAACUAGACAGCACCAGCUCCAGCAUGGUUAAAAGUCUCUAGGGUAGCCCUUUUGUAGACUGGGGGGCCUUAGACGCCAUACAUACAGCUGGGGGUGUCAUUCUAAUGUGGGAUAGAAGGGUUUUUGAGAGAGUAGAUUCAAUGGUUGGAAGUUUUUCAAUUUCUGUUGUGUUGAAGGGUGUGGCAGAUGGCUUUGAAUGGUUUUGUUCAGGGGUGUAUAGACCGACUGAUGGAAGUCUUAGGGAUGCUAUGUGGGCAGAAUUAG